rnacentral:rRNA from 1 species
UACAGAGGUGCCAAGCGUUAGGCGGAAUCACUGGGCUUAAAGCGCGUGUAGGUGGGUCGUUAAGUGUCCGCGUGAAAUCCCACGGCUCAACCGUGGAACUGCCGGGCAUACUGGCGAUCUUGAGGCAUUCAGGGGCGAGCGGAACAAAUGGUGGAGCGGUGAAAUGCGUAGAUAUCAUUUGGAACGCCAAUGGUGAAAACAGGUCGCUGGGGCUGUGCUGACGCUGAGACACGAAAGCCAGGGGAGCGAACGGG